CUUUAUGGUUUGGCGGGACAGUUGGCUUAGCUGUCAGCUGCUGAACGGCAUUUGGAAUCCAGUGAACUUGGCCAGUUUGUACCCGAUGGGAAGUAGGGAAAGGCUAGAGUGAGGAGUCUGGCUCCCGUCCUUUUGUGUUUGGAGCGAGCGGAAGAGAAAGAGAGGGAGAGAUUAUGAUGGUUACUGUGUGUCUUCGUGGUGCGUGAUUGUGACCUUGUGUGGUGAUGACUCUGGGUUCCCAGAAUGGGUAUGUGAUAGUGCUUCCUGACCGAGUUACACUGCGCAUGAGAAUGUGCAGAACCAGUGACUGUGGUUGGGACUCUGUAACUUUGUGUAUGUUUCAACCCCGUAUGUGCAGAAGUUGAAGGUCUGAGACUGGAGUGGGGCGCCUAUGGCUUAACUGUUGCGACUGCGACUUGUGUGACCCCUCGGUGGUGCUUGUAUAAGGCAUAUAAUCAGGAUCGUCUGUAUUGAGGAAGUGGAAGGAAGUGGAGAACUAGUCAAGGGGACUAAGCCCUUCUUUUCGUUCAUUUUCUUGUACGCUGGAUUUUACAUCAGUGAACUACACUACAUUUCUUUUAAGAGCAAGCGGGGAAGCUCCAGAGAAUGGGGAGAAAGGUGAUGUGCUUGUGCACAGUGAGUAAGGGGAACUUGGAAGUGGGAAGACUUGUGUGUGAAAGUUCAGCUACUCCACGUCCAGGCCUCAGUCAUCUCAUGUGAUUGUUCUAAUAGCCUCCUUACUCAUCCCCCUUGUUCCUAUGUUGCUCAACUAAAGUUUCUUAGGGGUUCAGGGUGUAGCUCAGUGGUAGAACACUUACUUGGCAUGUGUGAAGCUCUGGGUUCUGUCCCCAGCACUGCAGGGGCCAGAGGGGAGGAAGUUUCUUCUUAACACAGCAGCCAUGCUGAUCCUUCCAAAAUAUGUCAGUUUAUGCCACUCCUUCACUUAAAACUUUCCAUGGCUUCCCUCUUCCUUCAGAAUAAAAACCAGUCUCUACAGUGGUCUGAGUCUCUGUUACCACUCUGCUCUGAUCCAGCAUUUUUUCUUAAUUCUGCCUCUCUCUCUAUUUGAGAUUGCUGGUUCCCCUGCAUGGAAUUUUCUCACUCCUACUAUCUAC